rnacentral:rRNA from 1 species
UACGGGGGGAGCAAGCGUUGUUCGGAUUUACUGGGCGUAAAGGGCGCGUAGGCGGUCAGCACAAGUCAGUUGUGAAAUCUCCGGGCUUAACUCGGAAAGGUCAACUGAUACUGUGCGACUAGAGUGCAGAAGGGGCAACUGGAAUCUCGGUGUAGCGGUGAAAUGCGUAGAUAUCGAGAGGAACACCUGCGGCGAAGGCGGGUUGCUGGGCUGACACUGACGCUGAUGCGCGAAAGCCAGGGGAGCGAACGGG